GAUGAACGCUAGCUACAGGCUUAACACAUGCAAGUCGAGGGGCAGCAUGGUCUUAGCUUGCUAAGGCCGAUGGCGACCGGCGCACGGGUGAGUAACACGUAUCCAACCUGCCGUCUACUCUUGGACAGCCUUCUGAAAGGAAGAUUAAUACAAGAUGGCAUCAUGAGUCCGCAUGUUCACAUGAUUAAAGGUAUUCCGGUAGACGAUGGGGAUGCGUUCCAUUAGAUAGUAGGCGGGGUAACGGCCCACCUAGUCUUCGAUGGAUAGGGGUUCUGAGAGGAAGGUCCCCCACAUUGGAACUGAGACACGGUCCAAACUCCUACGGGAGGCAGCAGUGAGGAAUAUUGGUCAAUGGGCGAGAGCCUGAACCAGCCAAGUAGCGUGAAGGAUGACUGCCCUAUGGGUUGUAAACUUCUUUUAUAAAGGAAUAAAGUCGGGUAUGGAUACCCGUUUGCAUGUACUUUAUGAAUAAGGAUCGGCUAACUCCGUGCCAGCAGCCGCGGUAAUACGGAGGAUCCGAGCGUUAUCCGGAUUUAUUGGGUUUAAAGGGAGCGUAGAUGGAUGUUUAAGUCAGUUGUGAAAGUUUGCGGCUCAACCGUAAAAUUGCAGUUGAUACUGGAUAUCUUGAGUGCAGUUGAGGCAGGCGGAAUUCGUGGUGUAGCGGUGAAAUGCUUAGAUAUCACGAAGAACUCCGAUUGCGAAGGCAGCCUGCUAAGCUGCAACUGACAUUGAGGCUCGAAAGUGUGGGUAUCAAACAGGAUUAGAUACCCUGGUAGUCCGCACGGUAAACGAUGAAUACUCGCUGUUUGCGAUAUACUGCAAGCGGCCAAGCGAAAGCGUUAAGUAUUCCACCUGGGGAGUACGCCGGCAACGGUGAAACUCAAAGGAAUUGACGGGGGCCCGCACAAGCGGGGGAACAUGUGGUUUAAUUCGAUGAUACGCGAGGAACCUUACCCGGGCUUAAAUUGCAGAUGAAUUACGGUGAAAGCCGUAAGCCGCAAGGCAUCUGUGAAGGUGCUGCAUGGUUGUCGUCAGCUCGUGCCGUGAGGUGUCGGCUUAAGUGCCAUAACGAGCGCAACCCUUGUUGUCAGUUACUAACAGGUUCCGCUGAGGACUCUGACAAGACUGCCAUCGUAAGAUGUGAGGAAGGUGGGGAUGACGUCAAAUCAGCACGGCCCUUACGUCCGGGGCUACACACGUGUUACAAUGGGGGGUACAGAGGGCCGCUACCACGCGAGUGGAUGCCAAUCCCCAAAACCUCUCUCAGUUCGGACUGGAGUCUGCAACCCGACUCCACGAAGCUGGAUUCGCUAGUAAUCGCGCAUCAGCCACGGCGCGGUGAAUACGUUCCCGGGCCUUGUACACACCGCCCGUCAAGCCAUGGGAGCCGGGGGUACCUGAAGUGCGUAACCGCGAGGAGCGCCCUAGGGUA
rnacentral:rRNA from 1 species